AAGUGAAGCUUCAACGACAUCCGAAAAGGAGACUGAAGCACUUACAUCUGUACGCCAAUAUUAUGCCUUUGUAAUAAAUGGGAUGGAUGCUAUGUAUAAGAAUAUCCAGACGUCAGAUUAUACAAUAUCGGUCUUAUUUGCUGGGAUAGUUAUAUCACAGACGCCAAAUGACGCCCCAUGGACUGAAAGUAUUAAGAAUACCGCUGUAUCACCAUACACAGUUGAUUCAGGAGAAUGUUUGAACAAAUUUACUGCAUGGAUUAAUACAAAUUCAUCACAUUUACCAGAAAGAGACCAUACUAUGUUAUUUACCAGGUACCACCUACCACUACAUUAUUUUAACUCUUUCA